GAUGAACGCUAGCGGCAGGCUUAACACAUGCAAGUCGAGGGGUAUUGGUUUUCGGACCAAGAGACCGGCGCACGGGUGCGUAACGCGUAUGCAAUCUACCUUUUGCAGAGGGAUAGCCCCAGAGAAAUUUGGAUUAAUACCUCAUAGUAUAGUACUUUGGCAUCAAGGAACUAUUAAAGUCACAACGGCAAAGAUGAGCAUGCGUCCCAUUAGCUAGUUGGUAAGGUAACGGCUUACCAAGGCUACGAUGGGUAGGGGUCCUGAGAGGGAGAUCCCCCACCACUGGUACUGAGACACGGACCAGACUCCUACGGGAGGCAGCAGUGAGGAAUAUUGGAC
rnacentral:rRNA from 1 species